GCGGUGUCCGCUGUAACUCACAACGUUCCCCCUCGUUUACUUUGUGAUCGAAAAAAAUAUAUAAAUCUAUAUCUGGAAAAACCCAAUCCCUUAUAAAGGAAAUAAAUGGAACUGCUGGAAGUGUCGAUUCGUUCUGCAGAGCCAACUGUGCUCAAAAUUUCUAUUAAAUAUCUAACGACUUUUUAGCAGAAUUCAUUUGUAAGCAGAACACAGCUGAUUGACCGGUGUGACCGUACUUAGUUUCCUGUUGCCUGGCCACACUCUGUCACUAUAGGUUGAACCAGGAACCACUAACAAUACAGUAUAUAAAUGUGCCAGUUCAUACAGCGAACAUGUCGCACAUCGAACACAUGAAACUGGAUCCCAGGUUCUUCGGCUCUGGCGUUCGGCUACCGCCGCGUCAUCAAGAGCCAAGCAACGCUUUGCAUGUAACUGCAUACAACAAUAGAAUAAAACACAAAACUGAUCAACACAAGAAUAUAAAUAAAUAUAAACAAAAUGAGGUUAACUCAUAGCUUGUUGCCAUUGGUUUUUAAUCAGCUACAGAAAAUCACGGAUGACCGUGACAAAGUGCCACAGCGUGUUCCGUUUCCGAAUUUGACAUUGCUUUGUUUUUUAUGUUUCGAUAAUCUACUCCGCUCAAGUAUCAUUCCAAAAUUGUUUGUUCUGUCCGAGAAAAAUAGCUUGUUCAGCUUGAUAGUUAUAUGAGCGGCUGGACGAGAGCGACUACCUUCAUUCUCAGAGCGGAGAUUCAACGUGUCUCCCACUCCAGCUGCGACUGAUCACUUUCCAAGAAUGGGUGGACUUCCUACUGCACGUCAACAAACUCAUGGUCGGCACUUGAAGAGGAGGCAUUCGGAAAGGUCAUGUCGGUCAAUGGGGAGCAACAACACACGCUGGACGAGAACCGAAACUUGCCCAAGGACCAAGGACUGCACAAUCAUCAAGUUCCUACAGAAUGCCUUUCACCGGAACAUUUGGGACACGGACAGCUGUUUACUGGAGACCCAACUGUCCACCAGUUCCCGGACAUAUUCUGCGAGCAGCUUCAUCCGAUUCCGGCAGGCCUCCACGGACUGGAUUUGAUGUCUACUGUGCAUAAAGUAUCUUCAGAAUUUGGCUCUCUUGCUCAUCUUUCACAGAGAGUUUAUCCAGAAAGCAAGAAGCCACCAGAACCCCGGCCCUCUCCAUUUCUUCCUUCGGCAUCUUGGAAAACGGCCCAGGCUGUGGCACAUUCGCAAGGCAAUCCGUGAUCUUCUGUAGCUGAUUAAAAGCCAAUAGAAACAAGCUAUUAAUUGA